CCGCGGUAAUACCAGCUCCACUGGCCUAUACCAUCAUUGUUGCGGUUAAGAGGCUCGUAGUUGGAUUGAACUAUUGUAAAAUAUAUAUAGCGAUAUAUAUAUUUUAUAUAGUACUCUCUGCUAUCACACACACACGUACUGCGCAGUGUAAAACUGUAACGUGUGUGUGUGUGUGUGCGCAGAGUCGACUAUUUUUUUACACACACGUAAAAAUAUAUAUCACUGCACACUUUUUCAACACUGUGAACAAAUCAGAGUGUAUCAAACAUGUAUUUUUUACUGAAUGCGCAUUGAAUGUCUUAUCAUGGAAUGUUGCCUCUUUAGUGUAAAAUAUAUUGUGCGAUACACGCUUACUGAUAUGUUACGCAGCGAUAUUUUUUUACACACGUUUAUAAAAAUAUGUCGAUGGGGAUAGUUGGAGUCAAGAGUACUGCCGGGCGAGCGGUGAAAUGCGUUGACCCUGGCAAGACUACCAGAAGCGAAAGCGCUUGGCUAGGCUAUACCCUUUGUGAAUGCGUACGCGCGCUGUGAGAAUAUUUUUUUGUGACACUGGCAUGUUAAUAAAAAUUUAUACACACUGAAUGAAUUUUUAUCACCUCUGCUCACACGCAAAAUAAUAUUUUCACACAAUACAUAUAAUAUAUCCAUUGCACACAGGUGUAUUUUAUAUACGCUAGCGGGUAACGCGAAUGUGAGCAUACUGCUUAUAUAUGUGUAUUGAGUGUGUACGCGGACACUUUACAAUGAAGAACGAAGGUUGGGGAUCAAAGAGGAUCAGAUACCCUCGUCGUCCNUUUGUUACAUCAAACGAUGGGCUCUCAAUUGAAUAUUCACUAGUGAAUAUUUAGCUGAGAAUACAUCCUCAACCUGCAAAAAUAUUGACUUGAGCUUGGAUUUCUCACGAUUUCCGCUCGUCAAAAUUAUGCACGGUCUCGAUGGACGUUUCAAGCAAAAAUAUUACUAUUUUUGCGUGUAAGUUUUAUGCUAUAUUAAUUUAUUUUAAUAUGCAUAGCGUGCACAUGAUUUUCUGAGCUUUGCGCUCAAAAUUUCUGGUGAGAUGUAAGCAGUGUGUGUUUAUCUCCCAUACAUAAAUAUCUAAUAUUUGUGUAUGCGUGCAGUAAACACAAUUAUCACUGUGACGCACGCUUUAGGCACGCGCUUACUGCAGAAAUGUCUGAGACAUUCCCCUCCGGGGGUAGUAUGCACGCAAGUGUGAAACUUGAAGGAAUUGACGGAAGGGCACCACAAGAACGCGUGGAGCAUGUGGCUUAAUUUGACUCAACGCAGGAAAUCUUACCGGGUCCGGACACACUGAGGAUUGACAGGUGUUAACUCACUCUUCACGAGUGAGUAUAAAUAUGCUAGUCCUUUCAUGAUUAUGUGAUAGGUGGUGCAUGGCCGUUCUUAGUUCGUGGAGUGAUCUGUCUGCUUAAUUGCGUAUCACUAAACGUGCAACACGUAUAUGUGUGUGUGUGUCGAUAUAAUAUAUUUAUAUAUUUUAUUGACCCUCAUACAUAUUAUGCGCGUUGAUAGCAACGAACGUGACCGUAACCUCUUGUUGCCUUUUUACACACGCACAGUGUCGUUUCCCNCACUGUGCGUCAAAAAGUGCUUAACUAGAGGGACCGCUGUUUCCUUUUUUAAACCAGAGGAAGGUUACGGCAAUAACAGGUCUGUGAUGCCCUUAGAUGUUCCGGGCCGCACACGUGCUACAAUGAUUAUUGCAGUGAGCAUCUCGAUUUAGAUAAUAUUGUCGCGCAUAAUCCGUAUAUAGAAAUAUAUGCGUGUAUUAUGCGCGUACAAUACUGCCUGCUUCGAAAGUUCGCGGGUAAUCAAUUAGCAACAAUGAUUUCCGUAUUAAGCACACAUAUAUGUGAUGGUAUUACCCAGUAUAUUCUCGUAGUAUACUUGUGCGUAUUAUCACUCGCAUGUGCAAUUGUCAAUUCAUGGUGGGGACAGACUAUUGUUAAUUUUUAGUCUCGGUCUCAACUAGGAAUGCCUUGUACUGGUUUAAGUUCAUCAAACUACCAGGAAUACGUCCCUGCCCUUUGUACACACCGCCCGUCGCUCUUACCGAUGAACUAUACUGUGAGUUUAUUGGACCACAUACGUGAAUUUAUUUUUACGCGUGAGGAAAAAUAAACGAACAGUGUGGUUUAAAGGAAAGAGAAGUCGAACAAGGCA
rnacentral:rRNA from 1 species